rnacentral:rRNA from 1 species
GAGUUUGAUCCUGGCUCAGAUUGAACGCUGGCGGCAUGCCUUACACAUGCAAGUCGAACGGCAGCACGGAGCUUGCUCUGGUGGCGAGUGGCGAACGGGUGAGUAAUAUAUCGGAACGUACCCUAGAGUGGGGGAUAACGUAGCGAAAGUUACGCUAAUACCGCAUACGAUCUAAGGAUGAAAGUGGGGGAUCGCAAGACCUCAUGCUCGUGGAGCGGCCGAUAUCUGAUUAGCUAGUUGGUAGGGUAAAAGCCUACCAAGGCAUCGAUCAGUAGCUGGUCUGAGAGGACGACCAGCCACACUGGAACUGAGACACGGUCCAGACUCCUACGGGAGGCAGCAGUGGGGAAUUUUGGACAAUGGGCGAAAGCCUGAUCCAGCAAUGCCGCGUGAGUGAAGAAGGCCUUCUGGUUGUAAAGCUCUUUUGUCAGGGAAGAAACGGUGAAAGCUAAUAUCUUUUGCUAAUGACGGUACCUGAAGAAUAAGCACCGGCUAACUACGUGCCAGCAGCCGCGGUAAUACGUAGGGUGCAAGCGUUAAUCGGAAUUACUGGGCGUAAAGCGUGCGCAGGCGGUUUUGUAAGUCUGAUGUGAAAUCCCCGGGCUCAACCUGGGAAUUGCAUUGGAGACUGCAAGGCUAGAAUCUGGCAGAGGGGGGUAGAAUUCCACGUGUAGCAGUGAAAUGCGUAGAUAUGUGGAGGAACACCGAUGGCGAAGGCAGCCCCCUGGGUCAAGAUUAACGCUCAUGCACGAAAGCGUGGGGAGCAAACAGGAUUAGAUACCCUGGUAGUCCACGCCCUAAACGAUGUCUACUAGUUGUCGGGUCUUAAUUGACUUGGUAACGCAGCUAACGCGUGAAGUAGACCGCCUGGGGAGUACGGUCGCAAGAUUA